GCCUAGGCUCUCAGAGGCGAAGAAGGACGUGAUAAGCUGCGAAAAGUUACGGGGAGAAGCACAUAUUUUAUGAUCCGUAAAUAUCCGAAUGGGGCAACCCGGUAUGCUGAAGGCAUAUCACCUCGUAAGAGGGGCAAACCCGGUGAACUGAAACAUCUAAGUAACCGGAGGAAGAGAAAACAAAAGUGAUUCCGUUAGUAGUGGCGAGCGAACGCGGAUUAGCCCAAACCUAUUUUGUUACGGCAAAAUAGGGGUUGUAGGACCACGAUAUUCGAUGCUGAUUGAAUUAGAACUGUUUGGAAAGACAGACCAAAGAGGGUGAUAGUCCCGUAUAAGUAAGAGAAGUUAUUGAUAGUGGUAUCCUGAGUAGUGCGGGACACGUGUAAUCCUGUAUGAAUCUGCCGGGACCAUCCGGUAAGGCUAAAUACUCCUGAGAGACCGAUAGUGAACUAGUACCGUGAGGGAAAGGUGAAAAGAACCCUAAGUAAGGGAGUGAAAGAGAACCUGAAACCGUACGCUUACAAGCGGUCG
rnacentral:rRNA from 1 species